GCUGGGCAUGGUGGCGCGUGCCUGUAAUCCCAGCUACUCAGGAGGCUGAGGCAGGAGAAUCGCUUGAACCCAGGAGGCAGAGGUUGCAGUGAGCCAAGAUCGCGCCACUGCACUCCAGCCUGGGCGACAGAGCGAGAUUCCGUUUCAA
ensembl:misc_RNA Metazoa_SRP Metazoan signal recognition particle RNA